rnacentral:rRNA from 1 species
UACGUAGGUGGCAAGCGUUGUCCGGAUUUACUGGGCGUAAAGAGCGCGCAGGCGGUCGUUCAAGUCGCGUGUGAAAGCCCCCGGCUCAACUGGGGAGGGUCACGCGAUACUGAUCGACUGGAAGGCAGGAGAGGGUAGUGGAAUUCCCGGUGUAGUGGUGAAAUGCGUAGAUAUCAAGUGGAACACCAGUGGCGAAGGCGAGUCCCUGGAAAACUCCUGACACUGAGGCACGAAAGCUAGGGGAGCAAACAGG